rnacentral:snoRNA from 1 species
UGGACCAGUGAUGAUGACUGGGGGUCCACGGGUCAUGGAUGGUGAAUCACGGGAGUGUGGGACUCCGAGGGCCAA